UACAGAGGGUGCGAGCGUUGUUCGGAAUUACUGGGCGUAAAGCGCGCGCAGGCGGCCUUUUAAGUCUCGUGGUGAAAUGCCGGGGCUCAACCCCGUGCCCGCCGGAGAUACUGGGAGGCUGGAGACGAGUAGAGGCAAGCGGAAUUCCGGGUGUAGCGGUGGAAUGCGUAGAGAUCCGGAGGAACCCCAGUUGCGAAGGCGACCCGCUGGGCCGUACCUGACGCUAAGACGCGACAGCAUGGGGAGCGAACGGG
rnacentral:rRNA from 1 species